rnacentral:rRNA from 1 species
GUAGCGNGAAAUGCGUAGAUNUCAGGAGGAACACCGGUGGCGAAAGCGCGUAACUGGNCCAUAACUGNCGCUGAGGAACGAAAGCCAGGGUAGCGAAAGGGAUUAGAUACCCCUGUAGUCCUGGCCGUAAACGAUGGAUACUAGGUGUUGGUGGAUUCGACCCCUUCAGUGCCGUAGCUAACGCGAUAAGUAUCCCGCCUGGGGAGUACGACCGCAAGGUUGAAACUCAAAGGAAUUGACGGGGGCCCGCACAAGCGGUGGAACAUGUGGUUUAAUUCGAUGCAACGCGAAGAACCUUACCUGGGCUUGACAUCUACAGAAUCCUUAUGAAAGUAGGGAGUGCCUUCGGGAGCUGUAAGACAGGUGGUGCACGGUUGUCGUCAGCUCGUGUCGUGAGAUGUUGGGUUAAGUCCCGCAACGAGCGCAACCCUCGUGGUUUGUUGUUACAGGUCGCAAGAUGCUGAACCCUCAAGCCAGACUGCCGGUGACAAACCGGAGGAAGGUGGGGAUGACGUCAAAUCAUCAUGCCCCUUAUACCCUGGGCUACACACGUGCUACAAUGGUCCGUACAAAGGGCAGCAACUGGGCGACCAGAAGCAAAUCCCAUAAAGCGGAUCUCAGUUCGGAUUGUAGGCUGCAACUCGCCUGCAUGAAGUCGGAAUCGCUAGUAAUCGCAGGUCAGCAUACUGCGGUGAAUACGUUCCCGGGCCUUGUACACACCGCCCGUCACACCACGAAAGUUGGCAACACCCGAAGCCGGUGCCUUAACCUGAAAAGGAGAGAGCCGUCGAAGGUGGGGUCAGUGAUUGGGGUGAAGUNGUAACAAGGUAGCCGUAUCGGAAGGUGCG